CUGAGCCGGACCGGUUUGUGCCCUCAUUAAUCCUCAUUCUGCUGUGCAGCCUUGGUUUUGUACUGUUGGUGACUGGACUGAUUUUCUUCAAGAAACGCAAAGCCUUGAAAAAUGAGACGGUCACGGAUCUAAAUGAAACCGCGUAUGCUGCUGUCAACAAACCAAACUCAACAAAUGGUGGAGAUGCUGCAAAUGGACCAGGCCAAGCCACGUAUGCUUCUGUCCAAAAAAGGAAGAAAGGGAAGGAAGUUUGUGCAGCUCCCUUCGGACAACAUUCAUCGGAUCAACAGCCAAUCUAUUCUCUACUGAGUCAGGAAGUUUGUGCAGCUCCCAUCAGACAAUAUUCAUCGGAUCCACAGCCAGUCUAUUCUUUACUGAGUAUUUAAUCCUUUUUAUUCUAAAAAAAGAAUAUUUAAGACCUGUGUGUUUACAAACGUACAUAAAACUUGUUUCCUAACAUCCUAAGACGAUGAAAACAAUAAUUUUAAAAUAUUGAUGGGUUCUUUUUGGUAAGGCUACUAAAUUAAAGAAAGUGAAA